GACGAACGCUGGCGGCGUGCUUAACACAUGCAAGUCGAACGGAAAGGCCCUGCUUUUGUGGGGUGCUCGAGUGGCGAACGGGUGAGUAACACGUGAGUAACCUGCCCUUGACUUUGGGAUAACUUCAGGAAACUGGGGCUCAUACCGGAUAGGAGCUCCUGCUGCAUGGUGGGGGUUGGAAAGUUUCGGCGGUUGGGGAUGGACUCGCGGCUUAUCAGCUUGUUGGUGGGGUAGUGGAUUACCAAGGCUUUGACGGGUAGCCGGCCUGAGAGGGUGACCGGCCACAUUGGGACUGAGAUACGGCCCAGACUCCUACGGGAGGCAGCAGUGGGGAAUAUUGCACAAUGGGCGGAAGCCUGAUGCAGCAACGCCGCGUGCGGGAUGACGGCCUUCGGGUUGUAAACCGCUUUCGCCUGUGACGAAGCGUGAGUGACGGUAAUGGGUAAAGAAGCACCGGCUAACUACGUG
rnacentral:rRNA from 1 species